rnacentral:rRNA from 1 species
CCUACGGGGGGCUGCAGUGGGGAAUAUUGGACAAUGGGGGGAACCCUGAUCCAGCCAUGCCGCGUGUGUGAAGAAGGCCCUCGGGUUGUAAAGCACUUUCAGUGAGGAAGAACGCCUGGUGGUUAAUACCCAUCAGGAAAGACGUCACUCACAGAAGAAGCACCGGCUAACUCCGUGCCAGCAGCCGCGGUAAUACGGAGGGUGCGAGCGUUAAUCGGAAUUACUGGGCGUAAAGCGCGCGUAGGUGGCUUGAUAAGCCGGUUGUGAAAGCCCCGGGCUCAACCUGGGAACGGCAUCCGGAACUGUCAAGCUAGAGUGCAGGAGAGGAAGGUAGAAUUCCCGGUGUAGCGGUGAAAUGCGUAGAGAUCGGGAGGAAUACCAGUGGCGAAGGCGGCCUUCUGGACUGACACUGACACUGAGGUGCGAAAGCGUGGGUAGCAAACAGGAUUAGAUACCCCAGUAGUC